GAGGAAUAUUGGACAAUGGGCGAUAGCCUGAUCCAGCCAUGCCGCGUGCAGGAAGACUGCCCUAUGGGUUGUAAACUGCUUUUUUACGGGAAGAAACACCCCCACGUAUGGGGGCUUGACGGUACCGUACGAAUAAGGAUCGGCUAACUCCGUGCCAGCAGCCGCGGUAAUACGGAGGAUCCGAGCGUUAUCCGGAAUUAUUGGGUUUAAAGGGUCCGUAGGCGGACGGGUAAGUCAGUGGUGAAAGUCUGCAGCUCAACUGUAGAAUUGCCAUUGAUACUGGUUGUCUUGAAUCAAUGUGAAGUGGCUAGAAUAUGUGGUGUAGCGGUGAAAUGCUUAGAUAUCACAUAGAAUACCGAUUGCGAAGGCAGGUCACUAACAUUGCAUUGACGCUGAUGGACGAAAGCGUGGGGAGCGAAC
rnacentral:rRNA from 1 species